GAUGAAGAACGCAGCAAAAUGCGAUAAGUAAUGUGAAUUGCAGAAUUCAGUGAAUCAUCGAAUCUUUGAACGCACAUUGCGCCCGCCAGUAUUCUGGCGGGCAUGCCUGUUCGAGCGUCAUUUCAACCCUCAAGCUCAGCUUGGUGUUGGGACUCGCGGUAACCCGCGUUCCCCAAAUCGAUUGGCGGUCACGUCGAGCUUCCAUAGCGUAGUAAUCAUACACCUCGUUACUGGUAAUCGUCGCAGCCACGCCGUAAAACCCCAACUUCUGAAUGUUGACCUCGGAUCAGGUAGGAAUACCCGCUGAACUUAAGCAUAUCAAUAAGCGGAGGA
rnacentral:misc_RNA from 1 species